UAGUAGAGCAGGGCUGCUGUGCUCUCAGGAGCACGGAAGCCUCCGUGCUCCUGAGCCAUUUUCGAUAAUGGAGUUUCCGAAUCGACGAUCGGCUCUGUUAAACUUGAUCUACCGUAUUUGAAGUUUCUAGAAAAUAAUUUUUGCGAUUUUUCGAUAUCAUUUACCUAGCAAUCGAAAUGAUUCAAAAUCAAUAAUUUUUAACGGCUGAAAAUAAAAAUCCUAUAAAAAGUGGAGAUAUAGCACUAAAAUUUUCGAUCAGAAAUAUUGAUCUUAUUGUAGAUAGUAUAAAGAAUUUUGUAUCAAAAUUUCAUCUGAUUUGAAUACUUUUACACUGUUAAACUUGAAAACGGCAGAUAUCAACCGUUAAAAAUUAUUGAUUUUGAAUCCUUUCGAUCACUAGGUAAAUGAUAUCAAAAAACUGUAAAAAUUAUUUUCUAGAAACUUCAAAUGCGCUAAAUCAAGUCUAGCGGAGCCGAUCAUCGCUUCGAAAAUUCCAUCAUCGAAAACGGCUCAGGAGCACAGAGGUACUAUACUAUCGAUAUAUAUAUAUAUAUGGAGUCCGGCUACUAUACUAUCGAUAGUACCAAGCCAUUGGUACUAUUGAGUUUUCUACCGUUAGAUCUAUCCUUUGAUCAUUUCCAUCCGUUAGAUUAUACUAUUAAACCAACCACCUACUCAACCCUAGGGGACCAUUAUCAUUCUAACCACACAUCCUUUCAUCCAACGGCCGAAAACUCAAUAGUACUAAGGGCUUGGUACUGUUGAUAGUAUAGUAGCAUAAUUCUAUAUAUAUAUAUAUAUAUAUAUAUAUAUAUAUAUAUAUAAAGUAGGACUACUAUGCUAUUAGGAGCACAACAACUCUUAUGCUCCUAACUUUCUAACCACCCAUCAAUUUCUCCUCAAUUUUGAUAGUCGGUUAGGGUCAAUUUUGACAGAUGGUUAGGAUGAGAGAGAAAUUCAAAAAGAAGAGAAUUGAGACAUCCAAUUUUUUUCCAAUUUUUCUUCUCUCUCUAAUCCUAACCACCAAUCAAAAUUGAUGAAUGGUUAGGAAGUUAGGAGCAUAUAGGCUACUGUGCUAUAUAUAUAUAUAUAUAUAGAGUCCGGCUACUAUACUUUUAUGAGUAUUGGUUCCCUUAUACUCAUAAGUUUUCGGCCCUUAGAUUUAUUUCAUUAAUCAUUUUCACCCAUUAUAUCAUACUAUUCAACCAACUACCCACUCAACACUAGGGCACCACUAUCAUUUUAAGUGGGGACCACUAUCAUCCUAUCUACACAUCCCAUCAAUCAACGGUUAAAAAUUUAUCAGUACAGGGUGUUCUAUACUCAUAAUAGUAUAGUAGUCCCAACCUAUAUAUAUAUAUAUAUAUAUAUAUAGUUGAGCUGGAAUGCUAUCGGUAGCAAAUGGGCUCCGUUGCCACCCAUUUGUUUUCGAUAAUGGAGCCUUCAAAUCGACGAUCGGCACCGUUGAACAUAAUCCAUAUCACUUGAAGUAUCUAGAAAUCAAAUUUCAAAUCUUUUCGACAUCAUUGACCUAAUAAUCAAAGGAUUUCAAAAUUUGUAAUUUUAAUGGUCGAUAUGAGGCGUUUUCUCGUUUAACGGUGUAAAGCUAUCCAAAUCAAUUAAAUUUUGGUUAGAAAAUUCUUUAAACUAUUUCGAACAAGAUCUAUACUCUCGAUCUUGAUUACAAAAUUCCUAUCAUCACUUUUUAAAGGAUAUUCAUUUUCAGCCGUUCAUUUUUACGCCCACUUGAUGGACAAGAUAACAAUAUCGAAAAAGUAUGAAAUUUGAUUUCUAGAUACUUCAAGUGGUAUAGAUCAUUUUCAACGGUGCCGAUCGUCGAUUUGGAGGCUCGAUC
rnacentral:lncRNA from 1 species